UACGUAGGUGGCAAGCGUUGUCCGGAUUUACUGGGCGUAAAGAGCGCGCAGGCGGUCGACCCAAGUCGCGUGUGAAAGCCCCCGGCUCAACUGGGGAGGGUCACGCGAUACUGAUCGACUCGAAGGCAGGAGAGGGUAGUGGAAUUCCCGGUGUAGUGGUGAAAUGCGUAGAUAUCAGGAGGAACACCGGUGGUGUAGACGGCUUUCUGGACCGUAACUGACGCUGAGACACGAAAGCGUGGGUAGCAAACAGG
rnacentral:rRNA from 1 species